rnacentral:rRNA from 1 species
UUUAAAUUGAGAGUUUGAUCCUGGCUCAGGAUGAACGCUGGCGGCGUGCUUAACACAUGCAAGUCGAGCGAUGAAGUUUCCUUCGGGAAACGGAUUAGCGGCGGACGGGUGAGUAACACGUGGGUAACCUGCCUCAUAGAGUGGAAUAGCCUUCCGAAAGGAAGAUUAAUACCGCAUAAUGUUGAAAGAUGGCAUCAUCAUUUAACCAAAGGAGCAAUCCGCUAUGAGAUGGACCCGCGGCGCAUUAGCUAGUUGGUGGGGUAACGGCCUACCAAGGCGACGAUGCGUAGCCGACCUGAGAGGGUGA